rnacentral:rRNA from 1 species
UACGGGGGGGGCAAGCGUUGUUCGGAAUUACGGGGCGUAAAGGGCUCGUAGGUGGCCAACUAAGUCAGACGUGAAAUCCCUCGGCUUAACCGGGGAACUGCGUCUGAUACUGGAUGGCUUGAGUUUGGGAGAGGGACGCGGAAUUCCAGGUGUAGCGGUGAAAUGCGUAGAUAUCUGGAGGAACACCGGUGGCGAAGGCGGCGUCCUGGACCAACACUGACACUGAGGAGCGAAAGCCAGGGGAGCAAACGGG